AUUGAACGCUGGCGGCAGGCCUAACACAUGCAAGUCGAGCGGGGUUUUCGGACCUAGCGGCGGACGGGUGAGUAAUGCGUAGGAAGCUACCCGAUAGAGGGGGAUACCAGUUGGAAACGACUGUUAAUACCGCAUAAUGUCUACGGACCAAAGUGUGGGACCUUCGGGCCACAUGCUAUCGGAUGCGCCUACGUGGGAUUAGCUAGUUGGUGGGGUAAUGGCUCACCAAGGCGACGAUCCCUAGCUGGCUUGAGAGGAUGAUCAGCCACACUGGAACUGAGACACGGUCCACACUCCUACGGGAGGCAGCAGUGGGGAAUAUUGGACAAUGGGCGCAAGCCUGAUCCAGCCAUGCCGCGUGUGUGAAGAAGGCCUUCGGGUUGUAAAGCACUUUCAGUAGGGAGGAAGGGUGUUGUGUUAAUAGCACAGCAUUUUGACGUUACCUACAGAAGAAGCACCGGCUAACUCUGUGCCAGCAGCCGCCGUAACAC
rnacentral:rRNA from 1 species